UCGAGAAUCUUCCGCAAUGGGCGAAAGCCUGACGGAGCGACGCCGCGUGAUUGAUGAAGUCCCUCUGGGACGUAAAAAUCUUUUAUGAGCUACUAAGUUAUUGAAGAGCUCAUGAAUAAGGGGUUGCUAAACUCGUGCCAGCAGCAGCGGUAAUACGAGUGCCCCAAGCGUUAUCCGGAAUCAUUGGGCGUAAAGGGUGUGUAGGUGGUUGCGUUAGUCAGUCGUCAAAGCUCGGGGCUCAACCUCGAAAGGGCGACAGAAACGGCGCGACUGGAGGAUGCGAGGGGUGAAUGGAACUCAUGGAGUAGGGGUGAAAUCCGUUGAUAUCAUGGGGAACACCAAAAGCGAAGGCAGUUCACUGGCGCAUUCCUGACACUGAAACACGAAAGCGUGGGUAGCGAAUGGGAUUAGAUACCCCCGUAGUCC
rnacentral:rRNA from 1 species